UACGUAGGGCGCAAGCGUUGUCCGGAAUUAUUGGGCGUAAGAGCUCGUAGGCGGUCUGUCACGUCGGCUGUGAAAUCCCGAGGCUCAACCUCGGGUCUGCAGUCGAUACGGGCAAACUAGAGUAUUGCAGGGGAGACUGGAAUUCCUGGUGUAGCGGUGAAAUGCGCAGAUAUCAGGAGGAACACCGGUGGCGAAGGCGGCAAACUGGAUAGGAACUGACACUCAACAACGAAAGCGUGGGGAGCAAACAGG
rnacentral:rRNA from 1 species